CCUACGGGUGACUGCAGUGAGGAAUAUUGGUCAAUGGCCGCAGGGCUGAACCAGCCAAGUCGCGUGAGGGAUGCCGGUCCUAGGGAUUGUAAACCUCUUUUGUCAGGGAGCAAAGGGCGCCUAGAGUGGCGUUUUGCGAGUAACUGAAGAAAAAGCAUCGGCUAACUCCGUGCCAGCAGACGCGGGAAUACGGGGGGUGCGAGCGUUAUCCGGAUUUAUUGGGUUUAAAGGGUGCGCAGGCGGAAUGUCAAGUCAGCGGUAAAAUUUCGGGGCUCAACCCCGUCGUGCCUGUGAAACUUGCGUUCUUGAGUGAGCGAGAAGUAUGCGGAAUGCGUGGUGUAGCGGUGAAAUGCAUAGAUAUCACGCAGAACUCCGAUUGCGAAGGCAGCAUACCGGCGCUCAACUGACGCUCAUGCACGAAAGCGUGGGUAUCGAACAGGAUUAGAUACCCGGGUAGUC
rnacentral:rRNA from 1 species